rfam:Gossypium raimondii chromosome 6, whole genome shotgun sequence.
GGGUGCGAUCAUACCAGUACUAAUACACCGAAUCCCAUCUGAACUCCGCAGUUAUGCGUGUUUGUAUGAGAGUCGUACUCCAGUGACGUCCUCGUGUUGCACCCC